UUCAUUAGUUCAAUUUUUUUUUUCAUAGUGUGCGGAGUUUUUGAUUUAUAGAAUUUUGGAAAAAAACGUUACUUACAGAGCAUUUAUUAAACAAAAAUAUUGAAAAUUAGUUACAAUUUCCUACAGACUUUUCUUUAGUGUCGAAUAAUAUAAUUUAGGUUGGAUCUGCAACCUUGUUUAAAAUAUAUGCUAUUGACCUAUAUACAUACACAUGUAUAUAGAUGAGUGGAGUGCCUAAAAGAAUUACCACAGCAAGCAAAAGCGCGGUGUCUAUCAAAGUUCUUCCACACGGUGUCACACAGCAAAAGAUAAGGUCACAUAUUUGCAAUCAAGGGAAAAAAAUAUGCGCAUAAAACAUACAUGUAUUGAUUUACGGCAUCAAAGGACAGACUAUUGCUCGUACGUGGUUAUGUACACGUUUUCUUUCGCCUCAUAACUAUAUGACUACAAUUCGACAUGCAUAACAAAAGCGAUUAUUACUUGACAAAUUCAAAUAACAACAAAAGUACCAAGAAAGAAAAAUCAGUACCACAUUACAGUAGUGCGGACAAUACAUUUAAUUAUUACAAUAACGCAAACGUAAGUGGUGCCAGCUGGAGCCGGCAAAAUCAAAAUCUGCCAUCAAAUCAAGAAUCUACAAAGGAGGCCGUUCUCAAGAAUAUAUCUAGAUCGAACUACCGUCAGACACCUGGCCAUUGGGGCCUCGAUUCUGCGUGCUGUGCUGCCGAUCAACGAAGUAAUAUCGGUGUGGCGUUAUCAAACAAGAGUCGAGGAUACAUCUACCAGCCAGUUCGUCAAGCAGAAGAAUAUUUAAAUGGUACACAGCACAACAUGCGAGACUAUAUCGCCGGCAACGAUGAGCCAAGGGUGCUAAAAACAGAUAUUUUCGCGGAACAGGAACAAAAGAACUGGAAAGCAAGAACAACUCGUAGAACUGAUUAUCUGGAAAAUAUCCCAGAUAGAGAUAACGUCCAGAAUUCUCCAUCGCCAGAACCAACAUGGGAAUCUAUACUAUCAGAAGCACCUACGCCGUAUCUUACGACAAGCCAGCACUACGAACACUAUUUUUCAUAUUUUUAUAACCGUGGAACUAAAACAGUGUCGAAUCUUCCGUCAGUCACAAGUAACCGAAAACUGCCAAUGACUGAAUUUCAAAACUCCCCAGGUCGACGAGACCCUCGGGAUGUUAAUGCGACCACUGCCGGUCAAAGAGAACCAUCAAAGAACGUUGGUCGUAAUUCGCCAUUCGAAAAACACGUGCUAAAGGAAAAAUUACCCAGUAAUUAUUUGUCUGUCGAUUAUAGCGACAAUGGCUGGGCAGAAGCUGUAGAUUAUCCUGAAUCUUUGCUGAAGAAGACUGGAGAAGAAUAUCUGGAUAUAAAAGAUUUAUAUGACUCUGAGGCUAUUGUAGAAACUCAAUUCGAUCCUAAACAUCGUCGCUUUAGAUUGUCUGAGAAUAAGCGAGCUGAUUCAGCUAAUAACAACAAUGAAAGUACGGAAAAACCUUUAGAUCAGAAGCCGCCACGUUUGCCUGUGAAUCAAAAAAAAACCAAAGGAACCACAUCUUCCGUUAAAAAGUCAUUGACCACGGUUCACAAAGUCUUGUUGUACAGUACCCAAAGUCCGCGAAUGGGGCGCAAGCAACAGUUCGCGACACAUCGAAAUUUAAACGCGAAAAACCAAAUCUCCAAGUCACUGGGAGCCGAAGACGAGUUUCCCACAGUUCUAUUAGUUGAUCCUGAAUCCAAAGAUGAAGUCUUUCGAAGUCAUGUAGACUCCGAUCGGAAUCCUGAUUUCGAAGAUGACGACGACUUGGACAAUAUUUCAAAUUUCGACGAAAGUGACACUGAAAGCUUGAUCUCCGACGCUGAAGAUGGCUACCGGGCCCAUGCUUAUAAGCUUACGCAUUCCGUGGAUAGAUUUACAUCACCCCAAAGCACACCAAGUUUGUUGUCGGAUCAGUCUUCUGAAUCUGACCUUAAGAAUCCAGACUCGCUCUUGGUACCCAGUUUAUUUCCCUACGUACCACCGUAUUUGUCGUUCUCAUCGAACACAACAAAGGGUCCAAGGGUUCCGCCGGAGCUCCAUAGAGUGCUCAAGUGGCGGGUUACCAACAUAAUGCCUAAAGUUGUGCGCCUGAUUCUAGCCAACAGCGGAAUGCGAAUGUUAAAGAAAACCAACGAUUGGAUGGGAGUGUGGGGCAAGCAUUUAAGGUCGCCUUGUUUCAAGACCAUCCGUUCAUAUCAGAAAAUAAACCACCUGCCAGGCUCCUUUCGCAUAGGAAGAAAGGAUUCCUGCUGGAAAAACUUGCAAAGGCAGAUGACCAAGCACAGCAACAAAGAGUUUGGCUUCAUGCCACGAACAUACAUUAUCCCCAACGAUCUAUGUGCAUUACGCCGGCAUUGGCCAAAAUACUCACAGCGCAAUACUAAGUGGAUUAUCAAGCCACCGGCCAGUGCGCGAGGGGCUGGUAUUCGCGUGAUUAAUAGAUGGGGACAGAUCCCAAAGCGAAGACCACUUAUCGUGCAAAAAUAUAUAGAGCGUCCACUACUUAUUAAUGGUAGCAAAUUUGACUUGCGUCUGUAUGUGCUCGUUACAUCCGUAAACCCGUUGAGAGUUUUCAUGUAUCACAACGGCCUGGCUCGAUUCGCUUCAGUAAAGUACAGUUCCAGGGCAGACACUUUAGGCGAUAGGUGCAUGCAUUUGACAAAUUAUAGCAUCAACAAGUUCUCUUCUAAUUACUCAAAAAAUGAAGAUGUAAAUGCCUGCCAUGGUCAUAAAUGGACCAUAAAGUCUCUGUGGACAUAUUUAGCUAACCGAGGGGUCCGAACGGACUGUCUGUGGGAAGCCUUGAGAAGUUUAGUUCUGCGGACCAUUCUAGCUGGCGAGAAUGGUAUAAAUAGUAUGAUUAGAGCAAACGUUGAAUCAAAAUACAGCUGCUUUGAGCUGUUUGGCUUUGAUGUAAUUUUGGACUCAGAUUUAGUUCCGUGGCUAUUAGAAGUUAAUAUAUCUCCAAGUUUACACUCUGAAUUGCCAUUGGACUCCCAUGUCAAGGCCCCCCUUGUACAAGGUGUGCUAAACACGGCACUGUAUAACGUGCCUCCAAAACUGACUCAAGAGAAGCAAAAAGAGCUAGCUGCCGAACUCUCUUUUCCAAGUGGCACACCAAUGUGUUACGAUAAGCGACUCUACAUAAACUAUUUAUCUCGCGAAGAGAAGGAAAAGCAUAACACAUUCACACGAAAGUCGAUGGACGAUAGGAAUGAGUACAUAGACGCAAUUCUGCAUAAAUUAACUCCUGAUGAUGUACGAUGUCUCAUCAUUGCGGAAGAUGAGUUGGCACGAUGCGCACCCCUAGAACGUAUCUUCCCAACUGAUCAAACUCAUAAGUACCUAAAAUACAAUGAUACCCCACGAUACUACAACCGUCUGUUAGAUGCCUGGGAGUCGCGCUACGCAAACAAUCGUGCGGAGGGCAUCGCAUUGUUACGAGAUUAUUGUCAAAACAAAUAUCAUCUCCAAGUUCCAACAUCUCCAAACAAAAAGGUCUCGAACGAUAAAUGUGAACCACUAACUGUCAAGACUGUAAUUUCUUUAGGAGAAGAAGAAAACUAAUGCUUAAAAUCAAAUCUCCCUUAAAUUCGCAUAAAGAACGUCGUGAAAAGAGCAUGGCCUAUCAAAAACACCAACAAAACCCCUGGCUUUCCAUUAGAACAAAUACCGUUUGGCCCAUUAUAAAUUUAACCCUAUUUGGAAAUUUAAUGUUAAGGUUUAAAAGGUAGUCAAUGUGUUCGGCCUCUAAGAAAUUAUAUAUUAUGUAAGACAAUUAGUAAACGCUAAAUAAGAGUGAGUUAUUAAAAUUAUAUGUUAUAUUUCUAUAUGGAUUAUA